rnacentral:rRNA from 1 species
AGUGAACGCUGGCGGUAGGCCUAACACAUGCAAGUCGAACGGCAGCACAGUAAGAGCUUGCUCUUACGGGUGGCGAGUGGCGGACGGGUGAGGAAUACAUCGGAAUCUACUUUUUCGUGGGGGAUAACGUAGGGAAACUUACGCUAAUACCGCAUACGACCUACGGGUGAAAGCAGGGGAUCUUCGGACCUUGCGCGAUUGAAUGAGCCGAUGUCGGAUUAGCUAGUUGGCGGGGUAAAGGCCCACCAAGGCGACGAUCCGUAGCUGGUCUGAGAGGAUGAUCAGCCACACUGGAACUGAGACACGGUCCAGACUCCUACGGGAGGCAGAAGUGGGGAAUAUUGGACAAUGGGCGCAAGCCUGAUCCAGCCAUACCGCGUGGGUGAAGAAGGCCUUCGGGUUGUAAAGCCCUUUUGUUGGGAAAGAAAAGCAGCAGGUUAAUACCACGCUGUUCUGACGGUACCCAAAGAAUAAGCACCGGCUAACUUCGU